rnacentral:lncRNA from 1 species
UUAGCACCCCAGAAAGAUCAGCUCAGGAAAAAAAAACAGGGAAACUGCAAGAGAUCUGAAGCUAAUAAAGAUGCAAAUUUAUUGUGCGUAGGUUUGUCACAGAGUCAACUCUGAAUUGCUGCAAAUUUAUUAUUCCAUAUGCACAGCACUGAGGCACAAUCCAGAAUCCAGGGAACAAAAACUUCAGCAGGUAAAAUCCAGGGUCAUAUCUUAACCAUUACAAUGCCCUUCAGACUUCAGCAUGGUCAAGUGCCUAUUUGCUGCCCCACGGCAGGAAGAAGGAGCAGAGUGGUUUGUUCGUGUAUGGAUUGGUUCAACCUUCAAGCUGAUACUGCAGUUAACCUAAGGCUCCAAGUGUGAGGGUUCAACCUAAGGCUCAAAUGAAGAACUUGAGGCUGCCCGGUUAUCCAGGAAUUGAAAUUUCUGUUCCAACGCUGCCAUGGCUGCUCCGUGCACCUGUAGAAGGAACCAUGUUGAUUGCACCCAAUAAAGGCACAUCCAUACACAAGUAAGCAACAACUUAGCUUUCAGCAAAUUCCAUCUAUUCAAUUAAAAAACAGAGAAUAACCAGUGAAGCUAGGUAUGCAUUGUGAGAUUAUUUCACUCCUCUCGACGUCUAUACACAUCAAAUGAUCAGAAAUUAUCACACUGUAUAGUGUAUACACAUAUGCAAUCUUCAGAACUUCAGUUAAACACAGAGAGUACAUCUGACGUUGCAUACCAACAUAAUCUUCAGAUUUUCUUUUCUCAAUGGAUGAAGUAAAUCCAAAGGAGCGGUAGGGUAGACGAGCCGGCGGCCACCAUGGGGAAUGGAGGCAGGGGCGGCUGUGGGCAGCACGCAAGGGAGGCAUUUUUUUUUAUAGAGCUUGCUAGGUAGCCUUACCUUCUUGCAGCUGGCAACCUUGUAAGUGGGAGGCGGCGGCAAGGGAUCCGGGGCGAGGUGCUUCGACGGCGUGGCGAGGUGCUCGGUGGGGCGAGCUGGUCCAAAGCUCAACGGUGUGGCGUCGUUUUCCUGCACGGCGGAAGAUGGCGGCGUAUCUAGGGCGAUUCCGUCAGGACGACAUGAUUCGAGAUGGGGUUUGGGGAGAUGGGGAAACGCCAGCCAGAGGGACAGGGGAGGGUGGCCGCGGCCUGAAGGGUGGGGGAGCCGGGAAGGGCGAACCCUAGCUAGAGGAGCACGGGAGAAAUAGUCUGGGGGAUGUGGGAGACGGCGGCGGCGGCGAGGACGACGCGCCCACGCGUGCAACCGCUGCUCUGCCGCCCUGAAGGGCACAACCCAUCCAUGGGGGACCCGGGUGAGCGGCGCGUGGGGAGGGGACGGGGGCGUGGUGCGACG